AUUGAACGCUGGCGGCAGGCCUAACACAUGCAAGUCGAGCGGAUGAAGGGAGCUUGCUCCUGGAUUCAGCGGCGGACGGGUGAGUAAUGCCUAGGAAUCUGCCUGGUAGUGGGGGAUAACGUCCGGAAACGGGCGCUAAUACCGCAUACGUCCUGAGGGAGAAAGUGGGGGAUCUUCGGACCUCACGCUAUCAGAUGAGCCUAGGUCGGAUUAGCUAGUUGGUGGGGUAAAGGCCUACCAAGGCGACGAUCCGUAACUGGUCUGAGAGGAUGAUCAGUCACACUGGAACGGAGAACCGGUCCAGACCCCUACGGGAGGCAGCAGUGGGGAAUAUUGGACAAGGGGCGAAAGCCUGAUCCAGCCAUGCGGGGUGUGGGAAGAAGGUUUUCGGAUUGUAAAGCACUUUAAGUUGGGAGGAAGGGAAGUAAGUUAAAACCUUGCUGUUUGGACGUGACCAACAGAAAAAGCACCGGCUAACUUCGG
rnacentral:rRNA from 1 species